AUAUAAUAUAUACACGUGUGUGUAUUUUACUUAGCAUUUCGUUUUAUUCAACUUGUUUUACCACCUAAGGUAAUUUCCACAGAUACCAAAACACGCAUUUUAUCAGAAUAAACAUACUAAAAUACAUACACCCACACACACGUAUUAAUAAUUUCACUAAAACAUAUACGCACACAUUGUUUUCUCAUGUUGUCAUCUACUUUUCCAAUUCAUAACUCCUUUCGUCGACCAAUUCUAUUUUUCUACUGCCGAUCACUCACUGUGAUUGACCGAUUCUCAGAAAUCUCGCGCACACCCACUUAGCACCAAACCGAAGUUUGUAUAUUUAAACAAACACGUCUAUGUUGAAGAUACGGACUUGUGUAGCUUCAUUUGCAAAGAAGUGACCAAAAUGAAGACAAUACUAUGUGGGAUCAAUAGUAAUAAACGAAGGAUUUUAUUAGUCUUCAUUCUGUUAUUACACACGACUGUCUUUGGAGAAAUACAUCGUGCCAAAAUAUAUUCUUCGAAAAACGGUGGUAUCAGCCAUCAUCAACAGCAUUCCUCAAAGCGUCCCACUCUGUCACAUGGAAACUCUAUUGGUAACAGUAAAGUUGGCGAAAGAGGACAAAUUGGCGAAGUGUCACCGUGCGAAUUGGAUGGAGUUAGCAAUCAAUGCAACGGAAGGAAAUCUGUUACAGGUGGUAAUACCCCAAAAUCGUCAGCUUCCUUCUGGGAAGGUGACAAACAUUUGACAAAUGCGGAUAUAUAUGUAUGGAUAAAUUCAUUAUUAUGUUCUUCAUUAGUCGGACUUUCGGGGGUUUUACCUCUGUUUGUGAUUCCUAAAGAAGCUGGGGAAUCCCUCCAAGGCGGAAAAUAAACAUUUGGAGUUUUCUAUGUUGGCAUGCACAAGGCCCGAAAUUUGCGGGGAGGGGCCAGUUGAUUAGAUCAACCUCGGUAUGCAACUGGAACUUAAUUUAUUGACCCUGAAAGGAUGAAAGGCAAAGUUGACCUCGGUGGAAUUUGAACUCAGAACAUAAAGACAGACGAAAUUCUGCUAAGCAUGCUAAUGAUUCUGCCAGCUCACCGCCUUAAAUGAAAUAAAAUAUUGACAAAGGAUCAAUACUAUAUUAGAGAAUUUGCUUGCCAGGAGAAAUGUAUUUUCUGUGCAGUGUUUAACAUUAAAAUUUCAAAUACCAUUCUCUACAUUGGUGAAUCUUACAUAAUAUAUUCUCAGUAGUUAAAGGGGGCUAAUUUCAUAUACACUAGAUUUUGGUUUCUUGACUAAAUCUAUGAUAAACAUCUAGAAUUGUGAGAUCUUUUACAUUACUAAAUGAUUUGUUUAUUUUUUAUAUACAAUUAAAACAGUAUUUUUUUUUAUAUAUAAAUUUCAAUGCGAUUACAAGAUUUUUAUGACUAUUUAAAUUAAGUGCAGUAAUUUCAACAAUUUGUCAAACUGGCUCUUAAAUAUUUUUUGAUUGAGAACAUUUUUUAAAAUUAAGGACCAAGUAAUUAAAGUGUAUUUUAAAAAGAUGAUUUAAGAAUUUUUUUUUUUUU